GAUGAACGCUGGCGGCGUGCCUAAUACAUGCAAGUCGAGCGAACAGACGAGGAGCUUGCUCCUCUGACGUUAGCGGCGGACGGGUGAGUAACACGUGGAUAACCUACCUAUAAGACUGGGAUAACUUCGGGAAACCGGAGCUAAUACCGGAUAAUAUAUUGAACCGCAUGGUUCAAUAGUGAAAGACGGUUUUGCUGUCGCUUAUAGAUGGAUCCGCGCCGCAUUAGCUAGUUGGUAAGGUAACGGCUUACCAAGACAACGAUGCGUAGCCGACCUGAGAGGGUGAUCGGCCACACUGGAACUGAGACACGGUCCAGACUCCUACGGGAGGCAGCAGUAGGGAAUCUUCCGCAAUGGGCGAAAGCCUGACGGAGCAACGCCGCGUGAGUGAUGAAGGUCUUCGGAUCGUAAAACUCUGUUAUUAGGGAAGAACAAAUGUGUAAGUAACUAUGCACGUCUUGACGGUACCUAAUCAGAAAGCCACGGCUAACUACGUG
rnacentral:rRNA from 1 species